UUGACUCGCUAAUGAGAAUUGUUAUUAUUACUUCAACUGAUCGCGAGAUCAGCCGGUAACUGAAAGCCCAGGCAGUCGGACUUUCGGGUUAUCUCCUCAUCAGGCUAAUCACGGUUUUUGACCCGGCACCCGCCGGGUCUUUUUUUG
rnacentral:sRNA from 1 species